UAGGGAAUAUUGGACAAUGGGUGAGAGCCUGAUCCAGCCAUGCCGCGUGCAGGAAGAAAGCCUUCUGGGUUGUAAACUGCUUUUGCCAGGGGAUAAAAACACUUUGCGAAGUGGAUUGAAGGUACCUGGUGAAUAAGCCACGGCUAACUACGUGCCAGCAGCCGCGGUAAUACGUAGGUGGCAAGCGUUGUCCGGAUUUAUUGGGUUUAAAGGGUGCGUAGGCGGCCCUGUAAGUCAGUUGUGAAAUACGGCAGCUUAACUGUCGAGGUGCAAUUGAUACUGCAGGGCUUGAGUACUGAUGAGGUAGGCGGAAUGGACGGUGUAGCGGUGAAAUGCUUAGAGAUCGUCCAGAACACCGAUAGCGAAGGCAGCUUACUAAGGAGUAACUGACGCUGAGGCACGAAAGUGUGGGGAUCAAACAGGAUUAGAUACCCCCGUAGUCC
rnacentral:rRNA from 1 species